rnacentral:rRNA from 1 species
CACGUAGGGCGCAAGCGUUGUCCGGAAUUAUUGGGCGUAAAGAGCUCGUAGGCGGACUGUUGCGUCCGCUGUGAGAAGCUGGGGCUUAACCCUGGCCUUGCAGUGGAUACGGGCAGACUAGAGGUAGGUAGGGGAGAAUGGAAUUCCCGGUGUAGCGGUGAAAUGCGCAGAUAUCGGGAGGAACACCGGUGGCGAAGGCGGUUCUCUGGGCCUUACCUGACGCUGAGGAGCGAAAGCGUGGGGAGCGAACAGG